rnacentral:SRP_RNA from 2 species
CCUCAGGCCCCGCACAAUGAUUGAUCGUGAACUCCGCUAGGCGAGGAAUCGAGCAACGGUAGCGAAACCAAUUGUGUGUUGCGGUCAAGUCUGAGGCCG